GUGAGCUGAGAUCAUGCAACUGCACUCCAGUCUGGGCAACUCCGUCUCAAAAACAAACAAAAGAAGGGUCAUCUCAUAAAUGAGACAGGUUGGGUAAAUUGCCUCACAUCAUAGGGCCUUGCACAUACAGAAAAAAAGUAAGAGUUGCUCUUAUUGUUGCUUUUAUCAGUGGGUACCCAUUACUAGCCCAACCCACCCUUAACCUCUAGGUGAAAUUAGAAACCAUGUGUUCUGACUGUCUGUAUUCAUCAGGAUGCAUAAGGAAAACAGAAACCCCUCUAGGUAUUUCAAUCAGGAAGAUAUUUAAUACAGGGAAUGCAAUGCUGCAGCAUUUAAGAUAGCAGGGUGUGCAGGGAUUCUUGCAGAGCACUACUACUGAGGUCCUCAGCUGCCUACAGUACCAAUGUGGGUUACUUAAGAUAAAAUGUCCAGAAGAUGCUGGAAGACACCAUAUGUCUGCUUUCUGCGAAAGUCCCACUGCUAGUAGAAUAAUAAUGCUUUCUUCUUCUCUCCUGUCUUCCCUAUCUCACAUGAGUACUUCACACUGGGGGAAGCUGAACUGGAACUCUACUGACAAGGCAGUUGGGAGUUCAAACUUAAUAACCUUCCAGAGUUGGUAUCAAAUUCAGACGCUGACACUCCUUGGAGAGGUUCUUUGCUGCAAGAGGAUGGAAAGGAUCACUCUGAUUUUGUUUUUCUCCUGCUGCUCUGUCUGGAAGCCAUGUGAGGGGGACAUCUGAGCAGCCCUGUGGAGAGGCCCUGAGCCAACAGCCAGCAUGAACUUGCUGGGCAUGUGAGUGCACCACCUUGGAAUUGGAGCCUCCACCCCCGGUCAAGCCAUCAGGUGAGAUUGCAGCCCUGGCUUAUAUCUGACCACAACCUCAUGAGCAACCCAGAACCAGGCCACCCAGGGAGAGCUCAGGCUGGCCUGUUGGAGGAUGACAGGCCACAUGCAACAGAUGUGAAGUGUCCCAGCUGACCCCAUUCCAGAACACACUUCCCUUCCAGAUGACCACAGAUGUAUGAGAGAGCCAGCCAAUAUCUGCUGAGACAUCCCCAGAAAGACAGAACAUCCAGCUGACCCAUGGACUCAUGGACAAUCAUGGAUAAAUGGAUAUUGUUUCAAGCUGCUAGGUUUGGGGUUGGUUUGUUACACAGCAAUAGCUAACAGCUACACCUCUAUUUUAAGGAGUUGUGAAGAUAAAUUGUAAAGGUACAGAAAAAUGAAUAGCUAUAACAGCAGUAGUGAUUGAGUGCUGGCUCUGCCUGGUACUGUGCUUAGGAUUGGCAUGCAUUAUCUCAAAGACUUGCAGAGGCUAGAAGGGCUGCAGCUGAAGAUUCUAGAAGAGUUCGGGUAUAAUGCCUGGCACAUGGUACCUGUUUCCUGUAUGCUAGUUGUUGGAUGCUGCUGAUGCUAGCAGCACGUGGAACUCCUGACACAUGCCUCUGAUUUGGUAGUGGGGUCUGAACUUUGUAAUCUAUGUGUCCUAGAGACCUUGGGAAGUCUUUAGCUAAGGGCAGACCAGGAGGUAGCUUUUGUAAUCUGAGAGCAGAGAGGUUUUUUAGCGUGAAUGGCAUCCAGGUAGCGUGGGGAAAAGGCAUUAGCCAGGGUGCUCCACACACUCCCCUCACUAGUGUGGUCCCUGGACCAGCAGCCUCAGCCUCCCCUGGGCCCUUAUUAGAAAUGCAGAGUCUCAGGUCCUACCCCCGCUUACUGAAUCGGUAAGCGCGUUUUAACAAGAUCCCUGGGGGAUUUGUGUGCACGUUAGAGUUUGUCCAGAACACUCUGCUCAAGCGAUCUGUGCUGAGGCACCGGUAUUUUUUUUCAAAUUCCAAUUUAUUGCAGAAUGACCGUUUAAAAAAAUACAGUAAAAAAGCAAAUUCCUAGAAAAAUUAAAUGAAAAAUAAAACAUAUGAAAUCUAA